rnacentral:lncRNA from 1 species
CCGGGUGCAGUGGCUCAUGCCUGAAAUCCCAGCACUUGGGAGGCUGAUACAGGAGGAUUGCUUGAGCCCAGCAGUUCGAGGCCAGCCUGGGCAAUGUAGCAAGAUCCUGCCUCUAAAUUAAAAAUAAAUAAAUAAAUAAAUAAAACAAAAACUGAAAACAAACAAUAACAACAAAAAAACAAGAUACUUAGUCUCUACAAGGCACAGUGUAAAAUAUUGUUGUCUUCAUCUAGAAGGAAGGAAACUAAUAGGUCAGAGUACAUUUAAAACUUCCAACAAAUAGAUGAAACAUAACGCAUAAGAGUGUGACUUCACAGAAUACCUCCCGGGGGACACAGGACCUGAGUGCUGCAUGCAGGAGGUGGUGGACAGGUGGGGACAGACAGAUGUGUGGAAGAGUAUGUGGGGCAGAUGAACUAGGCUGAAGAGAGAACUGGGCAGAGCCUUCUUCACACAGCCUUUUAAACAUUUUUUUGCAGCUGGGCAUGAGCCACCACGCCCAGCCUGGGUAGACAUGUUUUUAAUUCUCUUAGUUACAUACCUAGGGGUGGAAUUGCUGGGUCAUAUGUAACUCUAUGUUUAACUUCUUGAGGAACUACCAAAUUGUUUUCUGCAGUAGUUGCGUCAUUUUACAUCCCCACCACU